rnacentral:rRNA from 1 species
UCCAAUUGGAACGCUUUUGGAUGAGUCUGCGGCUCAUUAGCUUGCUGGUGGGGUAAAGGCCUACCAAGGCGACGAUGAGUAGCCGGCCUGAGAGGGUGAACGGCCACACUGGGACUGAGACACGGCCCAGACUCCUACGGGAGGCAGCAGCUAAGAAUCUUCCGCAAUGGACGCAAGUCUGACGGAGCGACGCCGCGUGAACGAUGAAGGCGGAAACGUUGUAAAGUUCUUUUCCUGAUGAAGAAUAAUGAAAGGAGUGGAAAGCCUUUCAGAUGACAUUAUUCAGGGAAUAAGCCACGGCUAAUUACGUGCCAGCAGCCGCGGUAAUACGUAUGGGGCAAGCGUUGUUCGGAUUUAUUGGGCGUAAAGGGCGCGCAGGCGGUUUAACAAGCUUGAUGUGAAAUAUCCCGGCUUAACUGGGGAGACGCGUUGGGAACUGUUAGACUAGAAUUUAGGAGGGGAAACUGGAAUUCCUAGUGUAGGGGUGAAAUCUGUAGAGAUUAGGAAGAACACCAAUGGCGAAGGCAAGUUUCUGGCCAUAGAUUGACGCUGAGGCGCGAAAGCGUGGGGAGCGAACAGGAUUAGAUACCCUGGUAGUCCACGCUGUAAACGAUGUGCACUAGGUGUAGGAUAUUGAGUAUAUUCUGUGCCGUAGCUAACGCGUUAAGUGCACCGCCUGGGGAGUAUGCUCGCAAGGGUGAAACUCAAAGGAAUUGACGGGGGCCCGCACAAGCGGUGGAGCAUGUGGUUUAAUUCGAUAUACGCGAGAAACCUUACCAGGGCUUGACAUUGACAUGACGGUCUAAGAGAUUAGGCUUUCCUUUCGGGGACGUGUUAACAGGUGCUGCAUGGUUGUCGUCAGCUCGUGUCGUGAGAUGUUGGGUUAAGUCCCGCAACGAGCGCAACCCUUAUUGUCUGUUGCCAGCAUUUCGGAUGGGGACUCAGACAAAACUGCCGGUGACAAACCGGAGGAAGGUGGGGAUGACGUCAAAUCAUCAUGGCCCUUAUGUCCUGGGCUACACACGUGCUACAAUGGCAAGUACAAAGCGUUGCGAGAAGGUGACUUUAAGCUAAUCGCAAAAAGCUUGCCUCAGUUCGGAUUGGAGUCUGAAACUCGACUCCAUGAAGUUGGAAUCGCUAGUAAUCGCGCAUCAGCAUGGCGCGGUGAAUAUGUUCCCGGGCCUUGUACACACCGCCCGC